rnacentral:rRNA from 1 species
GAUGAACGCUGGCGGCGUGCCUAAUACAUGCAAGUCGAGCGAAUGGAUUGAGAGCUUGCUCUUAUGAAGUUAGCGGCGGACGGGUGAGUAACACGUGGGUAACCUGUCCAUAAGACUGGGAUAACUCCGGGAAACCGGGGCUAAUACCGGAUAACAUUUUGAACCGCAUGGUUCGAAAUUGAAAGGCGGCUUCGGCUGUCACUUAUGGAUGGACCCGCGUCGCAUUAGCUAGUUGGUGAGGUAACGGCUCACCAAGGCAACGAUGCGUAGCCGACCUGGGAGGGUGAUCGGCCACACUGGGACUGGGACACGGCCCAGACUCCUACGGGAGGCAGCAGUAGGAAAUCUUCCGCAAUGGACGAAAGUCUGACGGAGCAACGCCGCGUGAGUGAUGAAGGCUUUCGGGUCGUAAAACUCUGUUGUUAGGGAAGAACAAGUGCUAGUUGAAUAAGCUGGCACCUUGACGGUACCUAACCAGAAAGCCACGGCUAACUACGUGCCAGCCGCCGCGGUAA